GCGUUUCCUAGGGUCAGGCUAUUUUUAGACGCACGGAUUAGCCAAUCAGAUGACAGGACGGAAAAAAAUUGACUUUGUCUCAAGGAAUCCAAAAUGGCGGCCGGGAAGGGGGAAAACGACGCUUGCUUUUCAAAGUCUUCCUACGUCGUCAAAUGCCUUUUUAUUUCUGGAUCCUUUUUGUCGCAGAGAAAGAAACAUUUAAUUACUAGCCUUGGACUAUUUAUUUCUCCAUAAGUGGACUCAAACGUUGUUAAGAGGACGUUUUUUCUUGCUCUUGCAAAGCAAUAAAUUCGAAAAUAAGUGAUCAUUUGUUUCGAUCUCGAAAUUCUCUCGCUGAGAGGCCAUAUUCUCAUUCAUAAGGUGUUUGAUACUGCUAGUUAACUAACAAUAGUGUAAGAAGUAACAUACGGAAGUUUAUGUUUUUUGUUUUACAUUUAUAUUAAACCAGCUCUUCAAAACUGUAAGUAAUUGUGUUUGUAUAAGAAAGAAUUUAGUCAUGAUACGCAUGAAUAUCAACACUAAUGACCUGCCCUCGACUCAACUUGCCCUGAUCUGGUAAGAAAUUGUAAAAAAUAAUCAUGUUUAAGUAUAAAAGGCAACUUCAAUAUGAAUUACAUUUGUGUGCGUGUUUUUUUUUGUAAAUUCUUUUUCCAUUUAAGCUUAAUUCGAAAAUUGAUACUUACUUAUUUAACUUAUAAUCUGUUAGGAAUACUUACAGUAUUACAUACUUGUGGUAUCUUAAUUUGUUCAAAUUUGACUUUCUUUUGAAUGACUUCUUGGCUGUCUAGAAAUCAUAAUAAGAUUUAAAUCAUUGCAAAAAAGGCCAGGAGUGUAUCUGUCAUCCUGGCUUGUAAUAAGACUAUAGUAAUGGCUCUUCUAAAAUCUUUCGAAAAAGUUCUUGAUGGAAAGACGAUGCUGUCACUCAAACAGUUUCAGGCUCUUGAAAUGUUUGUGGAUCACUUGGGGAAAUGGACUGAAAGAAUUUACAACGAAACAAAUAUUCAGAGGAAGGAUAUAGAAAUGUCAUGAUCAAUGUAGAUGAGGCUAAUAUAUAAGUUACAAUAAAAAAAUUCAAUUUUUUAGUGCACAUGCCUAGAAAGUAAUAGCUGUUCAAACAUUCCAUUUUGGUUUGAAUGUAUCAAAUAACAUUUGACCAAGAAUUCUGCAAAGCCCUCCCAUAACAACAUUAGGUUAACAUAUUCACCCUUUAUAGCUACCAACUCCUUUGCUAUAGCUUAAAAAUACCCUUAUUAUUUGCUGGUUUGAUAAGAUGUCGAGAAUCAAGGCAAAUAAGUCAAUAGCUUGGACAAUAUAAUAUAAUACACAUUCUCUCUAUCCUCUCUUUCUUUGGAAAGUCAAAUUUGAAUAAAGUAAGUUAUUCAUAACAGAUCAUAAAUAACAAGUAUAUAUUUUCGAAUUCAAUGGAAAUAGAAUUUACAAAAAGACACAAACAUCCAUAUUGAGGUUGCCUUUUAUGUUAGUAUACUUUUAAAUGGAUAUUUCUUACAAUUUCUUACCAGAUCAGGACAGUCAGUCCAGGACAGGUCACUGGUGUUGAUACAAACACAGUCCAGCUUUGAAGAGCUCGUUUAAUAUAAAUAUUUAACAAAAACAAAACAUAAACUUUUGUAUGUUACUUCUUACACUUUUGUAGCAACAUUUGAGUCCACUUAUAAAAAAAAUAGUCCAAGGCUAGUAAGAAAAUGUUUCUUUCUCUGUGGCUAAAAGGGUUCAGAAAUUAGGAGGCAUAUGACGAUGUAGGAAGACUUUGAAAAGCAAGCGUCGUUUUCCCCCUUAUCGGCCGCCAUUUUGGAUUCCUUAAACACGAAGGCGCGGUAUAAAAGGGUGCUUCCAUUGGAAGCAUCGGCUCAUUUGUCAAUCAACCGCCGUGGAGUGAGGAUCAAAUUCAAGAUGGCGGCAAAAGUCAAGUACAAAAUGCAGAGGGGAGAGGUUUCAAAGCGCUUCCUGAUGUAUAAGAAUGCCAACUCUACCACUAGUCCGAUAGAAUGUGUAAAAAAAGGAAACUCAGUAGAAAUAAAGCUACGAAACCAUCGUGGUUUACGCAAAAAAACGGGCAAACGCAUGACCAGAAAACAACGAUUUCAAACCUCGAAAAAAGCUAUACCCAAGACGCAUAUCAUGGUGACAUCUGAAUAAUCAACAAGAUAUAUUCUUCAAGAAAAAGCAGAUACAUAGACAUAUACAGUAUUACAUUUUCCCUGUGAUUUUAAAUCAUAAACAUUUCUUUAUAAGGAAACAUGUUCCGUUGAUAUGAAAUUGAUUUAUGUUACUGAAGUGUUUAGCCACCAGUCAUGUUUUAUAAGUUAUAAAUUAUACUAUAAAUAUAAUAGACCAAAAUGCCUUGUCUUUUAGCCAUUCAUUCUUACAGUAAAAGCAAGUAUAGAGACAGGGCGGAGGGAUAUUCAUUGAAUCAAAACGGUAAAAGUCAUGUCUCUAUUUUGUAUAAUUCAACUUAUAAAGUAUAAAACAUAUGUUUGGGCAACCCCUUUAUAAAACUAAGGAUCCAGACCCUUUUUCGACAAAUAGAAACACAAAGCUAAUUCAAUUGUUAUUAUUUGUAGUCAUCAUAGAUUGCAAGAUAAAAACAAAAUACUAUACAGAUGCAUUCUGAUCCAAAAAGUAGAAAGAUAGACUCAAUUAUGGCUCCAACUCACUUAGAUGGAUAUCAGGCAUUUCUUUAGUAGCCCUUUAGUUGUUUGGUGUACAUAUAUGUGUAAGUAUACAAGCUGAGACAUUGUACAAAGAGUUUUCUGCUGUUUCUGUGAGCCAGUUAUGCACAAUAGAAACAAAUAUCGAAA